rnacentral:rRNA from 1 species
AGAGUUUGAUCAUGGCUCAGGAUGAACGCUAGCGGCAGGCCUAAUACAUGCAAGUCGGACGGGAUUCAGGGAGUAGCUUGCUACGAACUGAUGAGAGUGGCGCACGGGUGCGUAACGCGUGAGCAACCUACCCAUAUCAGGGGGAUAGCCUCUCGAAAGAGAGAUUAACACCGCAUAACAUCAUUAACCGGCAUCGGAUUAUGAUCAAAUAUUUAUAGGAUAUGGAUGGGCUCGCGUGACAUUAGCUAGUUGGAGAGGUAACGGCUCACCAAGGCUACGAUGUCUAGGGGCUCUGAGAGGAGAAUCCCCCACACUGGUACUGAGACACGGACCAGACUCCUACGGGAGGCAGCAGUAAGGAAUAUUGGCCUAUGGAGGCAACUCUGAACCAGCCAUGCCGCGUGCAGGAUGACUGCCCUAUGGGUUGUAAACUGCUUUUGUCAGGGAAUAAACCUUUCUACGUGUAGAAAGCUGAAUGUACCUGAAGAAUAAGGAUCGGCUAACUCCGUGCCAGCAGCCGCGGUAAUACGGAGGAUCCAAGCGUUAUCCGGAUUUAUUGGGUUUAAAGGGUGCGUAGGCGGUCCUAUAAGUCAGUGGUGAAAGACGGCAGCUUAACUGUCGCAGUGCCUUUGAUACUGUAGGACUUGAAUCUAUUUGAAGUGGGCGGAAUAAGACAAGUAGCGGUGAAAUGCAUAGAUAUGUCUUAGAACUCCGAUUGCGAAGGCAGCUCACCAAGUU